UUUGUGUGUUGGUGUGUGUUUGGUGUGUGUUUGUGUGUUUGGUGCGUGUUUGUGUGUUUGGUGUGUGUUUGGUGUGUGUUUGUGUGUUUGGUGUUUGUUUGUGUGUUUGGUGCGUGUUUGUGUGUUUGGUGUGUGUUUUGUUUGUGGUUGGUGUGUGUUUGGUGUGUGUUUGUGUGUUUGGUGUGUUUGUGGUGUGUGUUUGGUGUGUGUUUGUGUGUUUGGUGUGUGUUUGGUGUGUGUUUGUGUGUUUGGUGCGUGUUUGUGUGUUUGGUGUGUGUUUGGUGUGUGUUUGUGUGUUUGGUGUGUGUUUGUGUGUUUGGUGCGUGUUUGUGUGUUUGUGUGUUUGUGUGUUUGGUGUGUGUUUGGUGCGUGUUUGUGUGUUUGGUGUGUGUUUG
ensembl:lncRNA